AUGGCCUGGGGGCUGCUCCCUGUUGGUGGUUGGUGGUCCUGGCUACCUGCCGCGGCCUAGGCUUGAUUUUUGAUUUGGACCUUCCCAGGGGCCUCUUCCUGCUGUCUGGAGCCUUGCAUUGGAAGAAUUACUUUGCCUACCACCUCACUUGCUUUCAAACAAUUAUUUAUUUGGAGGAAAAAAAAGUCUUUUCUCAAAGGGCCCAGUCUACAUUUUCCAACUUCUGCCAAAGCUGGAGUCUGAGCCAUUACUUUGAAACCAAGCUGUGAAUGGCUCAUUCCUCACUAAUUCCCAAAUGGGAAUCUCAAUGUUUGUUUACUUUCUUAAAAAAUUCACAUUUAGCCUGAGGCUCAGCUGAAGGAAUUUUAAACAUUCUUUAAGAGCCGUAAAGAUGAGUUGGGAAUGAAAUGACCACUCAACUUUAACUAGAGCGAUCAUUUUUUUUAAAAGCAUGUCAUUAAGUACGCGGAGCUCGGUUGUGACUGAGGAAUGAUCUCCAGUCGCAGGGAGAAUGUUAAUUUCAUUGGACAUGUCUCUUGAAAUGAAUUUGUGGUUAAGGAACCAUUUUUGAGCCAGGAAAAGCCCUAUGAGAAUGAACGGCAUUAGGAUUCUGUGCACCCAGUCUUUACUGAAUGUUUAAUGUGGUCAGGGAAUUGUGCUAAGUGCUGGGCCCUGGCUCACCCUGUAAAACCAGCUACUGCUGUGUGGGGACAGCCGGCCGGAGAGCCAGGGCUCAGCGGAUCCAGUUGCAAUGUAUUUUCUAAGGUGAGGAAAAGCUUCCAGGAAAUUGUUACUAUUUCAACCUGGAGCCUGGAAGGAGAGAUGCACAGAGAAGCUGUGAACCCAACUUGUACAUCUUGAGCCAACCCCAGCUAUAUCUCGCCAAGGUCAGUCAACCUACAAACCCAUGAGAAAGAAACAAAUGCUUGACAUUGUAAGCCACUGACAUUUUGUAAUUAUUUCUUUGCAGCACGAACACAGAAGAAGUUGAUUAAUGCAAUUAGUGCGUAUACCAAGAUAUUGCUGGC
rnacentral:lncRNA from 10 species